CAGUUCUCUUUUUUUUUCCCAGGAGAGAGACUGAACUAUUUCUUAAAAACAUGGUUUUUAUUAAUCAAUAUGUGUGUAUGCCAGGAUGAAGUCAUGAGGAAGAGACGUCCUUGAAUUGCUUUACCACACUCUGCUCAAUGUGCCUUUCAUUCUCAUGACAUUUGUAGAGCUGCUCAGACACAUUCCUUCCACCACCACCACUCCUUUUUCCCGUGAAGAGUGAUCACUCUAGGGUUCUUUCGUAGCCCAGCCAGGACUGCCUAAUGAAACCCAGAGAUAUGAUGGACAUGGAUUGGAACUGUGAGGGUGAAUGCAUUGCUUCCCCGUUGGACAAUGGAUCCACAGUCUCCAGAAGAUUUCCAAACCCAAGAUAUUCAGCAAGAAUAGCUAUUUUGCAGAAAGUAGCACUUUUAGGCCCAGUCCUGUAGGUGCUCAGCUCAUGGGACUCCUAGUCUCCCAUUGAAGUCAACUACAGUUGCAUACCUGGAGCACUUGCAAGAACAAUCUUUUUUCUUUUAUGAUGUCGAAGGAUGUUGUUUCGAUCUUUUGUUGUUUUCUUCUUUAAGGCUAUAGAACAAGAGCCGCAUUCUGUUCAUUUGAUUUGAAUACAAGCAAAGCUGAGCUCAUGCUGUGUUUAUUGCCAUAAGUGAAUGUUUUGGAGUAUUUGAUUUGCUAUAUUACAGAUUGUUUGAGUUCUGGACUGAGCCCCAGAUGACUCAUAAAACUCAGAGAUUUUGUAGCAAGCACAUUAUGCUGACUCACGCUCCUCCUUACCCGUAGUCCUAGACCUGUAGUUUUCAAAGUUUUUGAGCCCAAACCAGACAAAUCAUAA
rnacentral:lncRNA from 1 species